AUUGAACGCUGGCGGCAGGCCUAACACAUGCAAGUCGAACGAGUGGCGGACGGGUGAGUAAUGUCUGGGAAACUGCCCGAUGGAGGGGGAUAACUACUGGAAACGGUAGCUAAUACCGCAUACCAUCGGAUGUUCCCAGAUGGGAUUAGCUAGUAGGUGGGGUAAGGGCUCACCUAGGCGACGAUCCCUAGCUGGUCUGAGAGGAUGACCAGCCACACGGGAACGGAGACACGGCCCAGACUCCUACGGGAGGCAGCAGUGGGGAAUAUUGCACAAUGGGCGCAAGCCUGAUGCAGCCAUGCGGCGUGUAUGAAGAAGGCCUUCGGGUUUUAAAGUACUUUCAGUGAGGAGGCGUUACCCACAGAAGAAGCACCGGCUAACUCCGUGCCAGCAGCCGCGGUAAUAC
rnacentral:rRNA from 1 species